rnacentral:lncRNA from 1 species
UGAAGAUUCCAGAGGAUUUCAACACAGCAUAAUCAACGCAGCAAAAGAGCAGCAGCAGCUGACCCAGGGACAUCACUGGAGUGGGGAGCAAGUUUUAUGCACCUCCUGUCUGCCCCCUCCCUACAAAACAUCUACACAGGACUGAACAGAAAGGACGAUCGAUAAACACUUAACUGAUUUGUGGAGGAGAAAUAGUCCAAAGAGUUUCCCCAGAUCUCCUUGAAAACACCACACCUAUCAAUGACGGAAAACCACAGCCAGGUAUGAAUAAAAGGCUCAGCACACAACUCUGAUCCAUGGUCUAUUCCACAGGCUAUUGGGGUGGCCUCCAUUUGAAUCAGGACCUGGACAGAGAGGUUGCUUCCUUUACCGGGGGCAGUUGUGGACCACAGCUGCUCAGAAAUUGGGGAUAAAGUCAAAGCUCUUGCUCCAGGGGCCAUCUGGACCCUCUGCUAUUAGUGAAGUAGCUCAUCUUAGAGCCUAACGCUAAAGUUUCACAGUUAUUACAACACCCCUGCAUUGUCACAAACACCCUAGAGGCCAGCAGGGCUGUGCCUGAACUUUCCAUUUCGAAAAGUGCUAAGCCCCAGGUCAUGGUAUUGGAUGACUCUUGCCCUCCAACCUGAGUGUUCUACUUGUAACCGUUUGUCCAGUAUUGUUCCAGUUUUGACACCAAGAGCCUCAUGUCCUGGAAACCCCUCCAGUCCUGGGCAAAUCAGGGUGAUUCAUUAUUCUAGUUCCAACUUAUAUCCUCUGGCCCACCCUUUAUUUUAGCCCAGAAAUUCUGGAGAUAUGGUCGCCUGACCAGCAGCAUUGGCAAAAUAGGCACCUGAGGCUGGGCACAUCCUGAUGGAGUGGCUCUUGAGCUAGGAAAUCCACAAUGCAACACAGGCCUGAUUCAAGGACUUGAUCUCCGCAACCCCCUGCGGUUUGUGAAUAAUGUGAUUUUCUUAGGAAAAAAAGUCACUCUUACAUUUUCUUUGCGACUCCAUGAACAUUAUAUAUGUGGAACACCUCU